GACGAACGCUGGCGGCGUGCUUAACACAUGCAAGUCGAACGGAGUGGCGAACGGGUGCGUAACACGUGGGUGAUCUGCCUUGCACUUCGGGAUAAGCUUGGGAAACUGGGUCUAAUCCCGGAUAGUGCAGGAUGAGCUCGCGGCCUAUCCGCUUGUUGGUGGGGUAAUGGCCUACUAGGGCGUCGACGGGUAGCCGGCCUGAGAGGGUGUCCGGCCACAUUGGGACUGAGAUACGGCCCAGACUCCUACGGGAGGCAGCAGGGGGGGAUAUUGCACAAGGGGGGGAAGCCUGAUGCAGCGACGCCGCGUGGGGGAGGAUGGCCUUCGGGUUGUAAAUUCCUUUCGACAGGGACGCGGUACCUGGAUAAGAAGCACCGGCUAACUACGUGCCAGCAGCCGCGGUAAUAC
rnacentral:rRNA from 1 species